GCCAGGGCCUGCUGCUCUAAGGCUUGCUCCCACUGUACACAUUUUGGUCUCUCUUUGGUUUCUUCUCUGCCAACGUGUGAAACUUGCCUUAGAUCAGAGUUGAUGCACUGACUGACUAACUGACAGGCCACCCUGAAAAACUGCCAACCCAGGCUGGGGUUUGGAUAGCAAAAUAUGAGGCUGGAAACCGCCUGAGAACUGAGCUCAGCUCCCUCUACUGAGAUGGGCCUCUGUCCAACCUACAAGAAAUGAAGAACAGUGGCCAUUCAGCCAACCAGGAGUUCAUUUCCAAAUAAUCCUUCCCACGACCUCGACAGAGUCCCCAAGCACAGCUCUGCAGGGGCAUGUUCCAGAGGCCUGUGGAGCCCCACACCCCGGCCUGGCAGCCCCCAGCCCUGACUGCUGCCUGCUGCCCUCCUGCUGUGGCUAGCCAAGGAGAGGAGAGGACAGAUGAAGAUUCUUCCCUCAGUAACCCAGGAGAACAUUUCUUAUGAGCUCUGAAGAAGAAUCGAAGCUGCCAGGCACAUUUUAUGGGUCAUAUGCAAUUGAUUUCCUGACUCCUGCCUUCACUGAAAAUCACUAAACUGUGAUAGAAAAAAAAUUAUGU
rnacentral:lncRNA from 1 species